rnacentral:pre_miRNA from 1 species
GUCGUACUCCCUCUGUUUCAAAUUACUUAUCGUAGGUAUGGAUGUAUCUAGAUAUAUUUAAUUCUAGAUACGUCUAUUUCUGCGACGAGUACUUUGGAACGGAGGAAGUAUGUU